UACGUAGGGUGCAAGCGUUAAUCGGAAUUACUGGGCGUAAAGCGUGCGCAGGCGGCUUUGCAAGACAGAUGUGAAAUCCCCGGGCUCAACCUGGGAACUGCAUUUGUGACUGCAAGGCUAGAGUACGGCAGAGGGGGAUGGAAUUCCGCGUGUAGCAGUGAAAUGCGUAGAUAUGCGGAGGAACGCCAAUGGCGAAGGCAAUCCCCUGGGCCUGUACUGACGCUCAUGCACGAAAGCGUGGGGAGCAAACAGG
rnacentral:rRNA from 1 species